CCUACGGGAGGCAGCAGUGGGGAAUAUUGGACAAUGGGGGGAACCCUGAUCCAGCCAAGCCGCGUGUGUGAAGAAGGCCCUCGGGUUGUAAAGCACUUUCAGUGAGGAAGAACGCCUGGUGGUUAAUACCCAUCAGGAAAGACAUCACUCACAGAAGAAGCACCGGCUAACUCCGUGCCAGCAGCCGCGGUAAUACGGAGGGUGCGAGCGUUAAUCGGAAUUACUGGGCGUAAAGCGCGCGUAGGUGGCUUGAUAAGCCGGUUGUGAAAGCCCCGGGCUCAACCUGGGAACGGCAUCCGGAACUGUCAAGCUAGAGUGCAGGAGAGGAAGGUAGAAUUCCCGGUGUAGCGGUGAGAUGCGUAGAGAUCGGGAGGAAUACCAGUGGCGAAGGCGGCCUUCUGGACUGACACUGACACUGAGGUGCGAAAGCGUGGGUAGCAAACAGGAUUAGAUACCCCAGUAGUC
rnacentral:rRNA from 1 species